rnacentral:rRNA from 1 species
UGGGGAAUCUUGGACAAUGGGCGCAAGCCUGAUCCAGCCAUGCCGCGUGAGUGAUGAAGGCCCUAGGGUUGUAAAGCUCUUUCACCGGUGAAGAUAAUGACGGUAACCGGAGAAGAAGCCCCGGCUAACUUCGUGCCAGCAGCCGCGGUACUACGAAGGGGGCUAGCGUUGUUCGGUUUUACUGGGCGUAAAGCGCACGUAGGCGGACUUUUAAGUCAGGGGUGAAAUCCCGGGGCUCAACCCCGGAACUGCUGUUGAUACUGGAAGUCUGGAGUAUGGUAGAGGUGAGUGGAAUUCCGGGUGUAGAGGUGAAAAGCGUAGAUAAUCGGAGGAACACCAGUGGCGAAGGCGGCUCACUGGACCGUUACUGACGCUGAGGUGCGAAAGCGUGGGGAGCAAACAGG